ACGUCUGGCAUCACAUAUCUUGCAUUAGGUUGAAGCACAAUGUAAAUUUUAAAUUGGACUAGAAUUAUUAUUGGCUCUAGUUUCAGAAAUCUCUGUUGACUGCAUUGCUUCCAAGUUCCAACCAUUGUCUUGGAGUUAGAUCUGGUCACCGUCUGGAACUGGAAUCUCUCUGUAAAUCGGGUUCAGAAUUGAUUCACAGUUUCAGGAAUUGAACCGAUCAGAACUGGUGGUUUGACUUGUUGAUCUGAUUUGGCCUGAUUUAAAAAAAAAAAA
rnacentral:misc_RNA from 1 species